AAUCCGGGGUCCCCGACCUCCGAGUUGUAAUUUGGAGAGGCAUCUUCGGGGGGGAGCGCCGGCCCAUGUUCCUUGGAACAGGACGUCGCAGAGGGUGAGAAUCCCGUGCCAGGCCGGCUCCCUCCUCCCGGGUGAAGCGCCUUCGACGAGUCGAGUUGUUUGGGAAUGCAGCUCCAAGUGGGUGGUAAGUUUCAUCUAAAGCUAAAUACCGGCGGGAGACCGAUAGCGCACAAGUAGAGUGAUCGAAAGAUGAAAAGCACUUUGAAAAUAGAGUCAAAAAGUACGUGAAAUUGUUGAAAGGGAAGCGCUUGAGACCAGACUCAGGCCCGGGCAAACACCGCGCCCCCCGGGGCCGGGCAAUUGCCUGGGGCUGGGCCAGCAUCAGUCGGCGUGGCGGGACAAAGGCGCGGGGAAUGUGGCUCCCCUCGGGGAGUGUUAUCAGCCCCGUGCUCAAUGCCGCCGACGCCGACUGAGGACCGCGCCUAGGCUAGGAUGCUGGCUUAAUGGCCUUCAGCGACCCGUCUUGAAACACGGACCAAGGAGUCUAACAUCUAUGCGAGUGUUUGGGCGUCAAACCCUUGCGCGGAAUGAAAGUGAGCGGAGGUGGGAACCCCCCAGCGGGGCGCACCAUCGACCGAUCCUGAUGUCUUCGGAUGGAUUUGAGUAG
rnacentral:rRNA from 1 species